CACUGCCGAGAAAAGCCUCUAGAUAGAAAAUAGGUGCCCGUACCGCAAACCGACACAGGUAGUCAAGAUGAGAAUUCUAAGGUGAGCGAGCGAACUCUCGUUAAGGAACUCGGCAAAAUGACCCCGUAACUUCGGGAGAAGGGGUGCUCUUUAGGGUUAACGCCCAGAAGAGCCGCAGUGAAUAGGCCCAAGCGACUGUUUAUCAAAAACACAGGUCUCUGCUAAACCGUAAGGUGAUGUAUAGGGGCUGACGCCUGCCCGGUGCUGGAAGGUUAAGAGGAGUGGUUAGCUUCUGCGAAGCUACGAAUCGAAGCCCCAGUAAACGGCGGCCGUAACUAUAACGGUCCUAAGGUAGCGAAAUUCCUUGUCGGGUAAGUUCCGACCCGCACGAAAGGCGUAACGAUUUGGGCACUGUCUCAACGAGAGACUCGGUGAAAUCAUAGUACCUGUGAAGAUGCAGGUUACCCGCGACAGGACGGAAAGACCCCGUGGAGCUUUACUGUAGCCUGAUAUUGAAAUUCGGCACAGCUUGUACAGGAUAGGU
rnacentral:rRNA from 1 species